AAACUGUAGAGUUUGAUCCUGGCUCAGAUUGAACGCUAGCGGCAUGCCUUACACAUGCAAGUCGAACGGCAGCACGGGGGCAACCCUGGUGGCGAGUGGCGAACGGGUGAGUAAUGCAUCGGAACGUGCCCAUUGAUGGGGGAUAACUGCGCGAAAGCGUUGCUAAUACCGCAUAAGACCUAAGGGUGAAAGCAGGGGACCGCAAGGCCUUGCGUCGAUGGAGCGGCCGAUGUCGGAUUAGCUUGUUGGUGAGGUAAAAGCUCACCAAGGCGACGAUCCGUAGCUGGUCUGAGAGGACGACCAGCCACACUGGGACUGAGACACGGCCCAGACUCCUACGGGAGGCAGCAGUGGGGAAUCUUGGACAAUGGGC
rnacentral:rRNA from 1 species